UGAAGUCGUAACAAGGUAGCCGUAGGGGAACCUGCGGCUGGAUUACCUCCUUUCUAAGGAAGACCAAAAAUUUCUUUUGGUCUCAAAAAAUUAAGUUAAUGUGGCCGUCCUCAUUUCUCUUCUUAAUAAUUAAAGUGUCUCAUAAAUGCUAAAAGGGGCCGGUAGCUCAGGUGGUUAGAGCGCACCCCUGAUAAGGGUGAGGUCGGACGUUCGAGUCGUCCUCGGCCCACCAUUUUCAUGGGGGAUUAGCUCAGCUGGGAGAGCGCCUGAUUUGCAUUCAGGAGGUCAGCGGUUCGAUCCCGCUAUCCUCCACCAUUGACAUUUUUAGUUUUUUUAAAUUGUAAAUAAUGAAUAUCAAUUUUGGUUGUUCAAAAGUAUGAACAAUCAAACAAUAUCUAUAUCCGAUUGUUCGAAAAGAUGAACAAUCUAUAAAUAUUCGAAUAGAUGAAUAUUUAUUUAAAAAUUUAAUUUAGACAGAAAAUUAUUUUCUGUGCAUAAAUCAAGCGUUUAAGGGCGUAUGGCGGAUGCCUAGGCACUGAAAGGCGAUGAAGGACGUGGUAUACUGCGAUAAGUUUCGGGGAGCUGUAUGCAGGCUUUGAUCCGAAAAUUU
rnacentral:misc_RNA from 1 species